rnacentral:rRNA from 1 species
CACAUGCAGUCGAACGAUGAUCUCCAGCUUGCUGGGGGGAUUAGUGGCGAACGGGUGAGUAACACGUGAGUAACCUGCCCUUAACUCUGGGAUAAGCCUGGGAAACUGGGUCUAAUACCGGAUAUGACUCCUCAUCGCAUGGUGGGGGGUGGAAAGCUUUUUGUGGUUUUGGAUGGACUCGCGGCCUAUCAGCUUGUUGGUGAGGUAAUGGCUCACCAAGGCGACGACGGGUAGCCGGCCUGAGAGGGUGACCGGCCACACUGGGACUGAGACACGGCCCAGACUCCUACGGGAGGCAGCAGUGGGGAAUAUUGCACAAUGGGCGCAAGCCUGAUGCAGCGACGCCGCGUGAGGGAUGACGGCCUUCGGGUUGUAAACCUCUUUCAGUAGGGAAGAAGCGAAAGUGACGGUACCUGCAGAAGAAGCGCCGGCUAACUACGUGCCAGCAGCCGCGGUAAUACGUAGGGCGCAAGCGUUAUCCGGAAUUAUUGGGCGUAAAGAGCUCGUAGGCGGUUUGUCGCGUCUGCCGUGAAAGUCCGG